AACGAAGAGCAAGCUGGAGAACACCACCCCCUCCCUCCCACCAAGAAGCACUUUAGGGGCGCUUUAUGUAACUCAGAGAUUAGCCAACUCGAGGUGCCUGUGGAGAAGAGCCCCAGGAGAAGCCAGGUUUGACUGUGUGCCGAAUGCAUGCCUAGUCUCUACAGAAGCCAGAAGAGCCUGUGGGAUUCUUCAGAACUGGAGUUACAUGAGCAGCCAUGUGGGUGCAAGGCAAGUGCUGUACCACUGAGCUGGCUCCGUGGCAGUAACCCUCACACGUGCACUUAAGACAGACACACAGACAUAACUCAGCCUGUAACUCUUCCAGUAAAGGACUGUUGUUUUGUU